rnacentral:rRNA from 1 species
CGCGAAUGGCUCAUUACAACAGCCACUGUUUGCUUGAUCUUGAUUAUCCUACUUGGAUAACUGUGGUAAUCCUAGAGCUAAUACAUGCAACCAAGCUCCGACCGUAAGGGACGGGCGCAUUUAUUAGAACAAAACCAAUCGGGCUUCGGCCUGAGGUUUGGUGAAUCUGAAUAACUGAGCUGAUCGCAUGGUCUUUGUACCGGCGACGCAUCUUUCAAGUGUCUGCCUUAUCAACUUUCGAUGGUAGUUUAUGUGCCUACCAUGGUUGUAACGGGUAACGGAGAAUAAGGGUUCGACUCCGGAGAGGGAGCCUGAGAAACGGCUACCACAUCCAAGGAAGGCAGCAGGCGCGCAAAUUACCCACUCUCGGCACGAGGAGGUAGUGACGAAAAAUAACGAGGCGGUUCUCUAAGAGGCCCGCUAUCGGAAUGGGUACAAUUUAAGCCCUUUAACGAGGAUCAAUGAGAGGGCAAGUCUGGUGCCAGCAGCCGCGGUAAUUCCAGCU